rnacentral:tRNA from 1 species
UUAAGAGGGCAGGAAUCGAACCUGCACAGGGAAAUCAAAAUUCCUAAUGCUCCCAUUGCAUCACCUCCU